rnacentral:rRNA from 1 species
GGACGAACGCUGGCGGCGUGCUUAACACAUGCAAGUCGAACGGAAAGGCCCUGCUUUUGUGGGGUGCUCGAGUGGCGACCGGGUUAGUAACCCGUUAGUAACCUGCCCUUGACUUUGGGAUAACUUCAGGAAACUGGGGCUAAUACCGGAUAGGAGCUCCUGCUGCAUGGUGGGGGUUGGAAAUUUUCGGCGGUUGGGGAUGGACUCGCGGCUUAUCAGCUUGUUGGUGGGGUAGUGGCUUACCAAGGCUUUGACGGGUAGCCGGCCUGAGAGGGUGACCGGCCACAUUGGGACUGAGAUACGGCCCAGACUCCUACGGGAGGCAGCAGUGGGGAAUAUUGCAAAAUGGGCGGAAGCCUGAUGCAGCAACGCCGCGUGCGGGAUGACGGCCUUCGGGUUGUAAACCGCUUUCGCCUGUGACGAAGCGUGAGUGACGGUAAUGGGUAAAGAAGCACCGGCUAACUACGUG